rnacentral:misc_RNA from 1 species
GAAAUGCGAUAAGUAAUGUGAAUUGCAGAAUUCAGUGAAUCAUCGAAUCUUUGAACGCACAUUGCGCCCGCCAGUAUUCUGGCGGGCAUGCCUGUUCGAGCGUCAUUACAACCCUCAGGCCCCCGGGCCUGGCGUUGGGGAUCGGCGGAAGCCCCCUGCGGGCACAACGCCGUCCCCCAAAUACAGUGGCGGUCCCGCCGCAGCUUCCAUUGCGUAGUAGCUAACACCUCGCAACUGGAGAGCGGCGCGACCACGCCGUAAAACACCCAACUUCUGAAUGUUGACCUCGAAUCAGGUAGGAAUACCCGCUGAACUUAAGC